rnacentral:rRNA from 1 species
CCUGAUCCCAUGCCGAACUCAGCAGUGAAACCGCUCAGCGCCGAUGGUAGUGUGGGGCCUCCCCAUGCGAGAGUAGGUCAUCGUCAGGC